rfam:Ictidomys tridecemlineatus contig069681, whole genome shotgun sequence.
UGGGGUGUGGCUCAAGCCGUAGUGCGCUCGCCUGGUAUGCGUGCGGCCCGGGUUCAAUCCUCAGCACCACAU